CAUUGCAACUCUAUUGGCUGGCUCACGGCAUUUCACCACUGAUGAGGUCAGGCUUCUUGCUUACAUUGGAAGGCUGUAGAUGUUUAUGUGUCACUUGUAAGUGAAGUCACUUUUCAGCUGUAAAAAUAGUUGUACACGAAGUGAUACUGGGUAAAUUUCCAAUUCUUGCUGUCGUGUCAUUCAGGAAACUGCGUCUACUCACUUCAGCUCUCUCAAGGAAUAAGCACCUUCCUCAGUGGUCCAAGCGUUUGUGAAGGCAGCUGUUUCAACAGGACCCCUCUGCAAGACUCCUUCAACCACAUGACGCCUUCACUGCUGUCUGCCCAGACAACUUCAUUGUGUCCACCAGAAGUCAGUAUGACGCAACUUCCCAGAUCACACUGUGAAAGCUGCCGAGGAGCUGAGACUUUGCCUGUCCUCCCUUCAAGACAGUGCACGCCAUAGUGCCUGCUGGGUCCUCGCAUCUGCCCCUGCAAUCCAUCCCUCCUCCUGACCACCAUGGCCCAUCCUCUGUAUUAUCCUUGUGGCAUGAGCCCACACCGCUGGGACGUGAGAUCUGUUGAAUACAUUUAUCUUUGUGUGUAUAGCCCCAUUUAGGCGCUGUGGGGCAGGAACUAAAUGAGGUAUCUUUUGGCAUCUCAAAAUAAAACCCAACACCUUGGA
rnacentral:lncRNA from 1 species